rnacentral:rRNA from 1 species
GUGAGGAAUCUUCCACAAUGGGCGAAAGCCUGAUGGAGCAAUGCCGCGUGCAGGAUGAAGGCCUUCGGGUUGUAAACUGCUUUUAUUAGAGAAGAAUAUGACGGUAACUAAUGAAUAAGGGACGGCUAACUACGUGCCAGCAGCCGCGGUCAUACGUAGGUCCCAAGCGUUAUCCGGAGUGACUGGGCGUAAAGAGUUGCGUAGGCGGUUAAAUAAGUGGGUGAUGAAAUCUAUUGGCUCAACCGGUAGACUGUUAUCCAAACUGUUUGACUUGAGAGUAUCAGAGGUCGCUGGAAUUCCUAGUGUAGCAGUGAAAUGCGUAGAUAUUAGGAAGAACACCGAUGGCGUAGGCAGGCGACUGGGGUACUUCUGACGCUAAGGCACGAAAGCGUGGGUAGCGAACCGGA